GAAAUGCGAUAAGUAGUGUGAAUUGCAGAAUUCAGUGAAUCAUCGAAUCUUUGAACGCACAUUGCGCCCCUUGGUAUUCCAUGGGGCAUGCCUGUUCGAGCGUCAUCUACACCCUCAAGCUCUGCUUGGUGAUGGGCGUCUGUCCCGCCUCCGCGCGUCGACUCGCCCCAAAGUCAUUGGCAGCGGUCCCGACCGCCUCUCGCGCAGCACAUUUGCGCUUCUCGAGGCGUCGGGGUCCGCGUCCAUCAAGUUACCCCCCAAUUUUUGACCUCGGAUCAGGUAGGGAUACCCGCUGAACUUAA
rnacentral:misc_RNA from 1 species